UCUCAGCUGUAAUAAGUAGCCUUGGGACCCCCGAAGGCACACCCCACACACUUAUGCUGCGUGACCUAAGGUCACAAGUAAUGGCCGCAAGCUAAUUGAUUGAGAAAGGCUUGUCUGGCGGGGCCUCUUUGCGUCCUCUCUUUACAUUCCUUAGUCCUGUGAAAGAGGCACUGGCCGCUCAGCUAGCAAGGAAGGAAAAAAGAGAGGAAGUUUCUCCGCGUUCUGAUUACUCUCUGAAUUCCCUUGUAGCGAGCUUACUUCUCUCCACCCACUUCUUACCGAGAACUUAAUUUGAAGGUGAACAACUUAAAGCCUGUUCCCAGAGAGGUCCCCGAAAGGUGAUUUGAGUGUUUACCGAACUGAAGGAACAAAUUACCUACUUGAGGCGGUGGGCAGCGUAUGGAAACGCUAUUAGAACUUCAGCAAAGUGCACAGCUGCCUAAUACCGAAGCCCGGGACUCAGAUUGAUAGGCAAAUCAGCCAGCUCGUGGAAGGGCCCUCUGGGUGGCGGCUCCGGGCUGGGCUAGUGGGUGCUGGACAACUGUAGGCAAAACAGAAAUGGAGCAGGGGCAGCAGAUAGCACACUUUUACGCCACGCAACUGUUGCUUUCGCAUGGUUAUUGAUCAUUAAAAUGGCAUUGUAAAGGGAUGACUCAGAAAUAACAGAGCUUGUUGCCGCUUCUGAGAUAAAGAAAAUUCUCGAUGUCAAGAUUUAAAUAGAGAAGAGAAUGAGAUAUACAAAAUGGGUAUUCUUGAAGUUAAUCAGAGAAAUAUUCAUGCACCUGUAAAGGUAGGGAAAAGAAACUUUUCUGGUUAUAAAAUAUGUUGUGUUUGUUUUAGCUGUGUUGCAAUAAUUUAUUCAUCAUGUCAGACAUAGCUAGAAUUGAUGUUGCUUAUUCUGAAUAAUCAAAAAGUUUGUUACAUCUACUUGUUUCCUAAACUUGAAAUCAUCCAACACAUAGUAUUUAAUCAUCAGUUUGAAUUUCUCUUCCAUACUAUUACAUACCACUAUAUAUAAUAUACAUACCACUAUGUAUAAUACUAUAAUAUAGUAUUAUAAUUUAUGUUUACGGUAGACAGAAUUUAGUCUUUCUUUUACAUUUUUAUAUUACUCUCUCCAUAAUUUUAGGGUGGUGAGACAUAUCAUAUACAAUUUUCACACAUCAAGAAGGCAGUUUUUUAAUAUGUACAUUUGUGUAUAAUAAUACAUGUAAUAUAUUAUUAGAAACUGAGAUUCUUUUGUCUACCCUAAUUUCAUAUUUUUCUUGUUAUUUUAAGCCUAUAAUUUUUGAAGAAACAACCAAGUAACCACAAGUAUAAUUAGCUAUCAGUGAUUUAGUAAUAUAAAUAUUAAUUUGGAAGAAUUUACUUCAUUAUUAGCUUUACUUAAUAUGAGCGCCAGAAAAGGUGGUCCCUUUCUUGGCUAGGACCUAUGUGAAGAUAAAUUUAGAAUUUCUAGUCUAGUAAAUACUUCUCUGAUAAUAGCUUAAUUGUAGCUAUUUCAAACCCAAUUGUUUAAUUGUGGUGAAUCAUAUGCAAAUCGUUCAGAUGUAGGUCAACCCCCACUCCCACAUUCCAGUACCUUUUUGCUAAAUUCAAGACAAAUUGCUCAAUGCUUAAAAGAGACAGAACAGUGCAAAUUAAAGACAUAAGACUAAAAUCAAAACAACAAUAACAUAACCACCAGUGGGCCAGGAGUCAGAAAGUUCUCCUGAAGACGGUACAGCAGGUUGCACGGAUCUAUACCUUUGUUCAUGAUCUCUUGUGUUGGCUGUGUGUUGGUACACAAUAGUUUGCUCACUGCUCAUGCGAUUUGUGGCUGGCAAAGCAUGGUGCCUCUAGAAUACUAAGUUUCCUCAUCUGCAAAUGCAUGUAAUAUCUUUCUUGUCCGCUUGUUGAACUGCAAUGAGGAAGCAGUAGAACAAGGAAUGUAAAAUAAAUGUGUGAUGGCUCUAAUCCCA
rnacentral:lncRNA from 1 species